CUUACCCCAUGCGCUAAGCCAGCAACCUCUGGGCUUGGCGAGACUGAUGGGUUAAUAAGCCGAGGGAGGAGGUAGAAGAGGGGGAUUGGGGGGGAGGACUUAGGGGACCAGGACUUCAGUGAGGCCCCAGAAAGCUCAUAGGAGGGGCCUCCGAUCCUGCCUGUGAGGGAGGGCUUUAGAGGAGGAUUCCUGGAAGAAGGAGGACCUAAGCUGGGUGUUUCUAUUUUUAAUUUUUAUUGGCUUCCUAAACAUAAAAGU
rfam:Otolemur garnettii contig075605, whole genome shotgun sequence.